CCCGGCCCGGGUCCCGCUGCCCCGGGCCCUAAUGCCGCGGUGCCAACUCCGGGCGCCUCGGGGCUCUCCGCCAAGCUCGAUCCCGGGGAGGAUGGAGAAGACGACGACGACGUCGGGGAAGAAGAGGACGACGCAACAGAGAAAGUCAAGGCAGCCCUGAUAUUGGAUGACCCCAGAACUAUGUCACACAACACCUUCAAACCAGAGAUUGUACCUGGGAAUGUUUUAAUGCCCUGGGAAUACACAUCUUACUAAAGCUGGACCAUAAAGGAUCUUAAGACUGACCUGAAGAUUUAGGAUACUCUUGUUUACACAUCAUCAUGGAUCCUCAAAAUUCCAGACCAGGAAUUCCAUGCUUGAACGUGCCCUGAAAUAUGAAGCAUGACAAAUAACUUGCACCCCAGUACUUGUCAGAAUAAAAAUGGUUUGACAGCAGUUUCUCCAGGGGCUCACUGCUCUCCCUCAAGUCAUCAACAGAGAAGAUGCUCCUGAAUGAAGACAUGGCAACUUCCCAGGCAUACCAGUGUUUUGGGAAUCCAUACUUCUUUACUCAACAGGUCCAGAUAAAGGCGGAGGCAUGGGUGGGCACAUGGAAAACACAUUUUAAUUUUUUGCCAUCUCACACUGUCAUUGUUUUCUCAUUAUUUCGAUGAUUUUUUAAAGUAGUCUCCUUGUGUCUUCUCUUCUCAUUUUCAAUUUUUUUCUAUAUACUUCUCUAAAAAUUUUUCUAUAAACAUAAAUCUGGUGGUAUUGCCUCACUCAACCCUCAUCAACUCUCUAUGGUCUACUGAAUAAAUGCUCAAGUCUUUGGUAUUGUGUUGAGAGAAUGUCACAGUGUGGCCUCAAUUUAUCCUCCCAUCUAUAUUUCUAGUCACCUCCCUAUCAAAGAUGAAUCGGUCAUUCCACUUUGACCCCCAAAUCCCUGGUUUUGUCAGACCCACUCUCAGUAGGAUAUGCAUUUUUUUCAAUUAAGCUCUGUGUUGAAAUAUAUAAACAAAUAUGUAUACAAACCUUAAGUGUAUAGCUUGUUGAUUUCCCUAACAAACAGACUGGUGUAACCAUCACCCAAAUCAAGAACUAGACCAUUGCCCACAGGGAUAGUAGUACAGCACGGAGAAUAUAGUGUGUGAUUCUGUAACAUCUUUCUCCAUUGACAGGUAGUGACCACACUAGAGGGGGUGAGGAUUUGAUAAUGUGGGUAACUGUUGAACCACUGUGUUGUACAUUUGAAGCCAACAUAAGAUUGUAUCAGUGAUACUUCAAUAAAAAAAAAAGGACCACUGCCAGCACCCCUAUAUGUUUCUUCGGACCCUCUCCCACUCACUUCUGGCACCCCAUCUUCACUGUUUUUUCCUAUUUCAACCCUCUAUAAAUGGAAUCAUAGUGUGACCUCUUUUGUGUCUUGCUUUCUUUGCUCAAUAUGUUUGUAAGGUGUAUGUGUGUAACAGUAGUUGGUUUAUUCUCAUUACUGUAUUGUGUUCUGGUAUAUCCAUUUUAUUUGAUGAGCAUUCGGUGGUUUUCAUAUUUUGGUGAUUAGAAAUAGUGCUGCUACAAAUGUUCUUAUAUGCAUUUGGGUAAUUGCAUGUAUUGUAUUACUGUUGAAUAUAUACCUAGGAGUGAAAUUACUGGACCAUCGGGUGUGUAUCUCCUUUGCUUUAGUAGAUACUGCCAAACAGUAUACUAAAGAGGUUGUGCCAAUUUACAUUCCCAACAGCAAAGAAUGAGUAUUUCUCCACAUCUUCACCAACACUGGGUAUUGUAGUUCUUUUUCACAUUAAACAUUUAAAUGAUGGGUAGCGAUAUCUCAUUGUGGUUUUUAAUUUGUGUUCCCUGGUGACUAUGGAUGUUGAGAAUCUUCUCACAUGGCUAUUUUGGCUUUUUUUCUAUUUUGAAAUGUUUAUUCAAGUCCUUUGCUCAUUUUUUUUCUAUUGAUUUUAGAAAUUAUUUACAUAUCCUAGAUACAAGAGAUUUUAUACACAUACACAUGUAUAUUUAUCCCAUUCUGUGUCUUGCCUUUUCACUCUCAAUGUUAUUUUUUGAUGGAUACAAAUUUUUAAUUUUAAUGAAAUCCAGUAUGUUCAUUUUUUUCUUUACAGUCAAUGUUUUUUGUCCUGUUGAGACAUCUGUUUGCUCCAAGUUUAUGAAGAUAUUCUCCCGUCUAGAAGCAUUAUUGUUUUCCCUUUUACAUUUAAAUCUGAAAUGCUGUAGACUUCAUAGUAUGGUUUUUUCCAUAUGAAUAUCCAGUUGACCCAAUUUAUUGAAAAACCCACCACUUCCCCCCAUUGCACUGGAAUGUCACCUUUAUCACAAAUCAAGUAUCUGUAUUUCUUGGUAGUCUAUUUCUGGAUUCUCCAUUCAGUGCCAUCAGUCUGUUCAUCUCUCCUUGUGCCCAGCCACAUGGUCUUCAUUGGUAUUUUUCAGUGUUAAGUCAUCCAGCUCUGUUCUUCAAGGUUGUCUCGCCUAUACCAUAUUAUUUGAAUUUUUAUGUAAACUUUAGAGUCAUUUUGUCAGUUUUCACAAAAACAAACCUUCUGAGAUUUUGACUGGUAUUUCUUUGUGUCUAUAUGUCUCUUUGCUGGAGAAUUUACAUUUUUCUAAGUCAAAGUUUCAUGUUGCUGCCUAUAGUUUAUUCAUGUAUUUAAGAAUGUUUUAGUUUUUGAAAAAUGCUUCUAGUUUUCUGUGAAGAGGUCUUGGCUAACUAACAUUGUGUAGGAUUCUAGCAUCUGUGCUCAUGAGAGAUAUCAGGCUGUAAUUCUCCUUUCUUGUAAUGUCAUUGUUAGGUUAUGCUGACCUAAUAAAAUGAGUUGGGAAGUGUUUCUGUUCUUGUAUUCUGUGGAAGAAUUUGUUGACACUGGUGUUACUCCAUUCUUAAGUAUGCUUGGAUGAAUUACUCAAGGCCUUCUAACCCUGAGGUUUCUCUUCGAAAGUUUUAAAUUGCAGAUUCAGUUUCUUUAAUAGAUGUAUGCUUGAAAUUUUAAAUUAAUUUU